CCAAAGUUUGAUUUAUACUUUGGAUUCAUCUUGUCAGACCAGCUGUAAAUAAUAUCUGCUAAGAGCAACAUUUUACAUGGUCCAUUUUCAGUUUGCUCGGAUUGCUCAGAAGCCUGCAGUAAGCUGGUCUGUCUCUGCGUAGCAACAUGCCUGCUGCUACUGUCCAAUGAUACGUU
rnacentral:lncRNA from 1 species